AUGCGGGCGUCGCACAUCCUGAUCAGGCACGAGGAGUCCCGGCGCGAGGCAUCCUGGAAGGACCCCGAGGGCCAGGUCAUUUCCGCCACUACGCGCGACGAUGCCGCCGCGCGCCUCGGCGAGCUCCACGGCCAGAUCCUCGCCGACUGCGCCUCCUUCGCCGACCUUGCAGCGCAGCACUCUGCCCGCCCACCCGCCGCUGGACUCCACCAAAGGGCCGAUCAUGCGAGGCAGAUUCAGGAUUGCUUGGUGAUGGAUAAGAUCAACCCGUGUGGCCAGCAGUAUUGGUACCAAUGCUGA
rnacentral:rRNA from 1 species